GGGGGUCUCCGAUCCCGCAGCGCCCCACAUCGUGGGGCCCCGAGGCUUCAGGGUCAGGGGGUGCCCGCGUUUGGGGUCGUGGUCCACGGGGGUCCCCACGUUUGGGGGUCUCGUUCCAUGGGGGACCCACAUUUGGGGUCCCUGGUCCAUGGGGGUCCCCAUGUUUGGGGUCCCUGGUCCAUGGGGGUCCCCACGUUUGGGGGUCUCGUUCUGUGGGUGCCCCACAUUUGGGGUCCCUGGUCCAUGGGGGUCCCAGCACUGGGGCUCUCUGUGUUUGGGGUCUCGGGUCCAUGGGGGUCCCCAAGUUUGGGGUCCCUGGUCCAUGGGGCUCCCUGUUAUUGGGGGUCCCUGGUCCAUAGGGGUCCCAGUGCUGGGGGUCCCCGGUCUAUAGGGCUCCCUGACCCACAGGGAUCCCUCACUUGGGGGUCUCUGAGUUGGGGGUCCUGGUACCGUAAGGGUCGCUGGCCCAUAGGGGUUUCUCAGUUGGGGGUCUCUCACUUGGGGGUCCCUGGGCCAUCCCUGGUCCAUAGGGGUCCCUGACCCACAGGAAUCCCUCAUUUGGGGGUCUCUGAGUUGGGGGUCUUGGUGCCAUAAGGGUCCCUGGCCCAUAGGGAUCCCUCACUUGGGGGUCCCAUUGCCAUAGGGGUUCCUGGCCCAUAGGGGUCCCUUACUUGGGGGUCCCCCACUCGGGGGUCCCUCACUUGGGGGUCCCAUUGCCAUAGGGGUCCCUGACCCAUAGGGAUCCCUCACUUGGGGGUCCCUCACUUGGGGGUCCCCCACUUGGGGGUUCCUCACUUGGGGGUCCCAUUGCCAUAGGGAUCCCUGGCCCACAGGGGUCCCCCACUCGGGGGUCCCUCACUUGGGGGUCCCAUUGCCACAGGAGUCCCUGGCCCAUAGGGAUCCCUGGUCCAUAGGGGUCCCCCACUUGGGGGUCCCCCACUCGGGGGUCCCUCACUUGGGGGUCCCGGUGCC
rnacentral:lncRNA from 1 species